UACGUAGGGUGCGAGUGUUAAUCGGAAUUACUGGGCGUAAAGCGUGCGCAGGCGGUUCGUUGUGUCGGCGGUGAAAGCCCCGGGCUCAACCUGGGAAUGGCCGUUGAAACUGGCGAACUGGAGUGUGGCAGAGGGGGGUGGAAUUCCGCGUGUAGCAGUGAAAUGCGUAGAGAUGUGGAGGAAUACCGAUGGCGAAGGCAGCCUCCUGGGCCAACACUGACGCUCAUGCACGAAAGCGUGGGGAGCAAACAGG
rnacentral:rRNA from 1 species